AAAGCGUGCGCAGGCGGUUUUGUAAGACUGUCGUGAAAUCCCCGGGCCUCAACCUGGGAAUGGCGAUGGUGACUGCAAGGCUAGUAGUUGGCAGAGGGGGUAGAAUUCCACGUGUAGCAGUGAAAUGCGUAGAUAUGUGGAGGAACACCGAUGGCGAAGGCAGCCCCCUGGGUCAAAACUGACGCUCAUGCACGAAAGCGUGGGGAGCAAACAGGAUUAGAUACCCCUGU
rnacentral:rRNA from 1 species